AUACGGAGGGUGCAAGCGUUAAUCGGAAUUACUGGGCGUAGAGCGCGCGUAGGCGGUUUUAUAAGUCAGAUGUGAAAGCCCCGGGCUCAACCUGGGAAUUGCAUUUGAUACUGCAUAGCUAGAGUUUGGUAGAGGGGAGCGGAAUUCCCGGUGUAGCGGUGAAAUGCGUAGAGAUCGGGAGGAACACCAGUGGCGAAGGCGGCUCUCUGGACCAAAACUGACGCUGAGGUACGAAAGCGUGGGUAGCAAACAGGAUUAGAAACCCCAGUAGUCC
rnacentral:rRNA from 1 species